CGGGGAUUAGCGCAGUUUGGUAGCGUGCUUGAUUUGGGAUCAAGAGGCCGUGGAUUCGAAUUCCACAUCUCCGA
rnacentral:tRNA from 1 species